rnacentral:lncRNA from 1 species
CCUGGCUUUUAGAGACUUACAGUCACAAAAAUAAGGCUGAGAAGUGAAUUAGCAAACCAGAAGAAAAACAGUAUUUGUGUCAUAUAUGACAAAGACUGUACAGCAUGUGGAGUAUUUUUAUAAAACAGUUUUCAAACUAGAAAUGGAAAGAUGGACAACUAUCACAAAAAGGGGGGGUGGCAAAUUGCAAAAGUAAACUGUAAAUGGAAUCGGAUAAACAGUGACAUUCUCUGUUUUUCUUCCCUAGAGAUUCAGUCUGAAUAUUUUUUUUUUUUGAGACAGGAUUUCCCUGUGUAGUUCUUGGUGCCCUCUGUAGACCAGCUGUAGAACUCACUCUGUAGACCAGGCUGGCCUUGAACUCGGCGACCUGCCUGCCUCUACCUCCUGAGAAAGAUUAAAGGUGUUAAAUUAGCUGCAAGAACUGCUCCAGGCUUCCAAGUCUGUAGGAGAAACAUGCUAAUGAGGACUGAAGGAAAUUAAUGGAAGAGAGUCCAGGACGCUGGGAGAGAAGUUCAGCAAUGCUUCCUAUGUGCGGGAUCUUCAGAGAAGCAGCUUCAAGCAGCCAAGAGCUCCUGAGUGAAAUAGACUGUUCUGCUCUUCACACUUAAGCACUUCCUUCUGAUGCUCGGGUCUGAAAUCUCCUGAAGGUAACAUGAGCAUCUGAGGUUCUAAUACAGGAAUGGGGGAGAGUAAGAAGAGGCCCUCAACACCCCUAAACCUGUACCCCUUAAGACUAUAUAAUAAGAAGAAAGACAUGUGUUAUUAUAUAAAUUCUGACUUGAGUACAGAAGAUGAGUCAAAUGUCAAGUUUUCAACAAUCCCCACCGUCUACCCAGAUCAAAUGUCUCACUUUAUACGUGAAAAACUAAGGCACAGAAAGACUAAGGAUGAUCUCUGAACACAAGCAUCCUGGUUUGUGACUCUCUUGAGACUUGAAUUUGUGCCUAGGCAUAUUGAUGGCAACGAAGAGGCUCACAGGGGUUUGACAUGGAUGCUCAUGCUAUUCCAGUGGUGCCUGUGACCAGAGGGUAGUAAUUUCAAUGAGAGUGACCCGGGGACCAUGAAUCAUGCCUUUAUUUGUAUUAUUGUAUCCAGUCAAUUGGGUCUGAUAGACAUCUAUUGAAUGCCUGCUAUCCAAGAGCCUUGGAGAUGUCAUGGUUGAUCAAGGGAGACAAAUGACCGAUACGCAAACAAAUAAAUGUUAUCCAGGGUAAUAAAUGUUGAGCAAAGUGCUAAGGGAACAGUGACAGGGGACAGUUUAUUCUGCCCAGGCACAGGAAAGUGAGGAGGCAUUCUUCAGACAGUGGGGAAGCAUGCCAAGUUUGUUUGUUUGGUGAGAUGUGUUUCUAUUUGAGUUGCCUCUUUGAAUGAUAGAGUAUCUAUGAAGAAAAAAGAUGGUGUGAUAUCGUAAACAAAAACAGGCCCCAG